UUGAAAUGUGCUUGGCAGGGAAGUUCUGCUCAGAAAGAAUGUCUCAUAUAGCUGUAAUCAGUCGUGGCCUUGGGCAGCAGUUCACUGAAGUUUCAACUUGGCUGAAUGUUCAAGAUCGCCCAUUCAAAUGCCAGAUCCUGGCAUUUGAGGCUGGCUGGCUGCCGUGUCUACAAGAAAAGUAAUUAAAUGCCCAACAGAGUAACGAGAAAAGUAAAACGAUGAACUAUUAAUGAAAUCAACAAGGAACGGAGAAACAGUCCACAACCAGCCUAGAAGCAAGGAGAGGGAAGAGUUACAUUUACCGCUAUUUGAAGUGAGAGCUGUGACUCCAGCAAUGGGAGAGACACCUGAUAGAAACUUUCAUCUUCAAGAAAGAAAUGGAACCACUGACAUCCCUCAGUCCAGCAAGCAAGAGGUCAAGGGAACAAAGACACCAUUCUCCUUCUCCUUUCCCCGACAACCUCCAGCUUGUAUUUCUCAUUGGCUGACCCCAAAGUAAAGACAGGACAAACAUCCUUUUGUUUUCAAAAUAGCCAGCAGCCCAGGAGAUGAAGCAAAGUGAAGAAGACAGGUGAGCUGAAGGGACAGGUGAAUCUCCAGGACCAUGACAGUUUGUUGUAGUUCCAGUCUUCCUGCCAUGACACAGAGGCCUGAAUAUACAUUGGCAACAGCAAGACAGAAAUGUUUCUCUCCUGUGUAAGUCUCCAAAAGUGGAUAGUCCAGCACUGGUAAGUUUCCUCUGUUCCUCUAAAUAUAAAGCUUCCCCCUCUGCAUCCAAAGAAGCUGCCAACACUCUUUAUCCUAGGCAGCGGAAAUGAGAAAAGCACGCACACUGCUUUGAAUAGCUUGUCGUGAAAGGGACAUGUGUCAUUUCUCAUGUGCCAUUGUCCCAAACAAGGUCAUCCAUUGCACAAAGGGCCCAGCUAAGCCUUGGUGAUUUUCAUCAUGAAGGCGGAGAGAACUGAUGCUGGUGCAAUACCAUCAAAGGUGCUCCAGGGAGAAGAAAGAGCAUGUAUGAAAGCACUAAGAUGUAAAGAAGCUUGUUUGGAAACAUUUAUGCGUGAAGAGAAUGAUGAUUUCCAGUGUUUGUAAAUACACAUACACAUAAACUUUUCCUGAAGUUUACACGUUAUGUCAUAUAUUGUGCACAAUAUUUCUCUUAAAGUGCCUUGUCUUGGACAGUCAACUUGCUACAUGGGCCAAUAAAAUGUGUAUGCUAAA